GCACUCCCCCUUCCCCUGCCCCUUCCCUUGCCCCUUCCCCCCUACCUGCUGCCCUCCAGCCCUGCCUCCUGCAGGCCCCCACUCUGAGCCCUUGGCCCCGCCCUCCUCCUGCUGGCCCACCUUGCCUGGCCAAGCUCCUGCCUCUCACCGGCUGACCCCCUCCUCACCUGGACGCCCACAAGGCCCACUGUCUCCACAUGCUCCCUGGAGUCCCCUGCUGCCCCUGCUGCCCCUGCCCUGCCAGGCCCCCUUCCCCACCCUACCUCCCCUUUUUCUGCCUGGCCUCCCUCUCUGCUCUUCACUCUUCCUUUGCCCUGGACCCCCCUUCUGGCCCUUGUCUGGCCUCCAGCCACCUGGGCAGACUGCUCAGCCUCCCCUACUCCCCUCCCACCCAGUCACCUCCUCCCACCAUCUCCCCACCCUCGGGCCACCCUGCAAACCGUCCCAGGGACCUGGCCCUCCUGCCAGUGGGCACCUGGACCUCUCGGGGCUCCGUGAGUGGGGCACCCGCUGGGCACAGGGAGCAGCACAGGCCUGGCAGGUGUGGGGCAGCCUCGAGGGCCCUCCGGAGCUCCAGGAAGCCCCCAUCUCCAGAGUGAGCUCUCAGCCACGUGGGGGUCUGGCCUGGGUCACUGGGUAGGUGCCCCUCCUCGGGAUCGGUCCAUAGGCCAAGGAAGAGGUGACAAACAGCUUCGUGUCCACACUCGAGCCCCUCCAGGCUCUCAGAGUUACCACUGGGAGGGGGUGGCUGGGCUCAGUGGACUCAGGGGAUCUUUCCCUGCAGGGCCGUUCCCUGCCCUGGGGCCAAGCGGGCUGGCCUCCCUCAUUCAGAAGGGGCAACGGUGCCCUGUGCCUGGUAUACACCCCGUUCUCCAAGCCAGCCUCCCCAGGAGAUAGCAACCAGGGCUCCCUAUGGCAGAGGGAGGCUGUGGCAGCGGUGGGAGGGGGGAGGCCUUGCAGCAUGACUUUAGGGCAUGGAUGUUUACAGGGAGGAGCCAGGAAGGGAUGUCUGGGUACUUCAGCCAAGGAUUGCCAGGCCUUCCCUAGCCAGGCUUGGCCUCAGAAGUCCCUGGCUUUCGUUUCUGAGGUCAUGUCUACAGCCACCUUAAAGCCUCCCGCCAUACCAGAGGGGACUCUGGUCACCCCAUCCUGCCCCCACCCCCUUGCCUGACCAGAUUGCCACCUGGGGUCAGACGCUUUCCUCACCCACCUGAUAAACUCCCUUUCACCGCUAACAGCUCAUUUGCCUUCACAGGGCACGGGCCUGGGCACUUGUGCUGCCUGUCUGGGGGGACCCUUCACUGCCCUGGCUGUUUCUCCUCUGAACCUUUUUACCCAAAAGGCUGAUUGAUGGCCUUCCUCCUCAGAUGACAGAACUUGGUGGCUUCUACCCCAGCCCUGGCUCUAGAAUCACAAAACCUCAGUCUGCAAAAGGGGCAGGACCUCUCACACUUCUCUCACCAAAAGAAGUGCAACAAUGUCAAAAUCAAUGCUUGGGUUCCGAACCCCUCUCUCAGCAGCAACCCCCUCCCCGCCCCAGCUCCAUUGACUUUUUCUGCCCCAGGACCUUGGGGAGGUAGGUGUGGAAACCAAACUGAGGCGACUGACAGCUGUUACCAGCCUGAAUCUCCCACUGAAAGCCCCAACCCCAAGUUCCUGGUGCCAGGGAAGCUGGACACAGGCCAGAAGCAGCAGGAAAACCCAGACUUGACCAAUCUGAGCAUGACAAACUCGUAUUCAAAUACAGUGAGACCCUGGUUCGCGAGCAUCCUUCAUGCCGGAAACACGCUUGUGAUCCAAAGCACCUGUACAUCAAAGCGAAUUUCCCCAGAAGAAAUCAUGGAAACGCAGAUGAUUCGUAUGAUUCGUUCCACACCCCAAAAAUAUUCAUAGAAAAGUGAUCGCAAUGCUGUAAUAUAAUACAAAAUAAUAAAGAAGAUACAAAGAAAAAUAAACAAACUAACCUGC